rnacentral:tRNA from 1 species
GUACCCGUAGCUCAAUUGGAUAGAGCGCUUGUCUUCGGAACAAGAGGUUUGGAGGUUCGAUCCCUCCCGGGUACACCA